rnacentral:ncRNA from 16 species
AGCUUAUCGAGAAAGACUGAGGGAAGGGCCCGACGACGUCUUAGCAACCUGUAACCAAGGUGCUAAUUCCCAUCCCGAAUAUUCGGGAAUAGAUGAGCG